rnacentral:rRNA from 1 species
CCCUACGGGGGGCAGCAGUAGGGAAUCUUCCACAAUGGGCGAAAGCCUGAUGGAGCAACGCCGCGUGGGUGAAGAAGGUCUUCGGAUCGUAAACCCUGUUGUUAGAGAAGAAAGUGCGUGAGAGUAACUGUUCACGAUUCGACGGUAUCUAACCAGAAAGACACGGCUAACUACGUGCCAGCAGCCGCGGUAAUACGUAGGUGGCAAGCGUUAUCCGGAUUUAUUGGGCGUAAAGAGAACGCAGGAGGUCUUUUACGUCUGAUGUGAACGCCUUCGGAUUAACCGGAGUAGUGGAUUGGAAACUG